rnacentral:misc_RNA from 1 species
CACGGAUCUUCUCCUGCGUUCGCCCCAAAACCACAAAUCGAAAAAUUUGUUGGGCAUUUCUGGGGGAGAUCUCAGAGAUCUUAUGCUAGUGUGGUGAAAACUAAGAGAGCUCCGAUCGUUGCUGUGAAGAUGCAACCAAGGGGAGCUGGUCGGCGUGGAGCUGCGCGCGGUUAUGGUCGUGGUUCUGGUCGCGAUCAUGUCUGGAGGCGUAUCGAAGAUGGUGAUGUUCAGAAUCAAAGAGGUGGUCGCAGUAUUGAGGAGGUCAAUAUGGGAGAGGGGGGUGACACCUUGAAUCAAGGUAACCCGUCUCCCUGGGAAAGUCAAGCUGUCAGAUCUGAAGGAAAAAAUGAAGAUAGUUG